rnacentral:rRNA from 1 species
CCCUUAGAUGUUCUGGGCCGCACACGCGCUACACUGAUGAAUGCAACGAGCUCUACCCUUGACCGAAAGGCCCGGGUAAACUUGUGAAACUUCAUCGUGAUGGGGAUAGAUUAUUGCAAUUAUUAAUCUUCAAUGAGGAAUUCCUAGUAAGCGCGGGUCAUCAACUCGCGUUGAUUACGUCCCUGCCCUUUGUACACACCGCCCGUCGCUCCUACCGAUUGAAUGGUCCGGUGAAAUCUUCGGAUUGCUGACCAAGAUCCAGCAAUGGAGCUUGGUUGCGAGAAGUUGAUUAAACCUUAUUAUUUAGAGGAAGGAGAAGUCGUAACA